AGGGGAAUAGUACAAUGGUAGUGCGGCGGUCUCCAAAACCGUUAAUGGGAGUUCGAUCCUCUCUUCCCCUG
rnacentral:tRNA from 1 species